rnacentral:rRNA from 1 species
GAUGAACGCUGGCGGCGUGCCUAAUACAUGCAAGUCGAGCGAACAGACGAGGAGCUUGCUCCUCUGACGUUAGCGGCGGACGGGUGAGUAACACGUGGAUAACCUACCUAUAAGACUGGGAUAACUUCGGGAAACCGGAGCUAAUACCGGAUAAUAUAUUGAACCGCAUGGUUCAAUAGUGAAAGACGGUUUUGCUGUCACUUGUAGAUGGAUCCGCGCCGCAUUAGCUAGUUGGUAAGGUAACGGCUUACCAAGGCAACGAUGCGUAGCCGACCUGAGAGGGUGAUCGGCCACACUGGAACUGAGACACGGUCCAGACUCCUACGGGAGGCAGCAGUAGGGAAUCUUCCGCAAUGGGCGAAAGCCUGACGGAGCAACGCCGCGUGAGUGAUGAAGGUCUUCGGACCGUAAAACUCUGUUAUUAGGGAAGAACAAAUGUGUAAGUAACUAUGCACGUCUUGACGGUACCUAAUCAGAAAGCCACGGCUAACUACGUG